rnacentral:rRNA from 1 species
UACGGAGGGUGCGAGCGUUGUCCGGAAUCACUGGGCGUAAAGGGCGCGUAGGCGGCUCAUGAAGGCUGUGGUGAAAGUCCGGGGCUCAACCUCGGAUCGGCCGUGGCGACUCGUGGGCUGGAGCACUGUAGAGGCGGGUGGAAUUCCGGGUGUAGCGGUGGAAUGCAUAGAGAUCCGGAAGAACACCAGUGGCGAAGGCGGCCCGCUGGGCAGUGGCUGACGCUGAAGCGCGACAGCGUGGGGAGCAAACAGG